GGAGCGGGUGGAACAGCGAGGUCAAGCGUGGAGAUCCCAGUUGCGAGUCAGCUCCGCGCCGCGGAGCAAAGACAGGACGUGGAUAAUCUUGGGAGGGAGACGCUGAACUGAAGAACAGAAAAGAGAGAUAGAGGCAGAAGUGAGGAGAGAGGGACAGGAAAAGAAAAUAAAGGCAGAAAACCAGAGAAAAGAUGAGACGGAGUGCGGAAAAGCAGGCGGGGAUAAAGGAAGGAAAGAUCUGUCGCAGAAAUGCGGGAAGAGGUGGAGGAAAAGAAACAGAAAAGAGACCCAGAGAGAGACCCAGCCACGAAGAAGGCCGCGGGGACGGGCGCGGAGCCGAGGGCCCUGCAGGCACGGAGGGGACGUCCCGCGGGUCUGGGGGUGUGCGGCUUUGGGACAGGCGAGUGCGUGCGGAGAGAAGGAGGAAGCGUGUUUGGUGCUAGACACUGCGCCCGUGGAAAAGCGGCUCUGGGCAGGAAUCCAACAAAUAAAUAAAACGUCUAAGACGGCGUGACAACAAUGUGUAUUUGGGUGCGUGCCCGUGUUCCUCUGUCUGAACACAGUCACACCCAGUAAGGAAGACAAACGGGGCUCGUGUCUCACAGUAAUUAAUCCUCUCACUAACUGAUUCUUUCCCCUUACCUAAUGGCGGUGGUCACUGCCGAUAUCUGGAGAGAUAUCAAGUGGGGGGAGACAGAGAGAACCCCAAAGCUAACGACCUUUGGGACUGGGAUUGAGUUUUUUCUGGACUUGGCAGCUCUAAGCCCUGCCCCCACCUCCACUUUUGGGCAGAGUUCCAUAGAUGUUGCUGCUUUCCUUCCCCUUCCAGGUUUUGGGCAGCAUUAAUAAAGAUCUCCUGAGAUUAGGGUGAUGUGGUCACACACACUGAAGCCCUUCUACCGCCCUCCACCUGGGGAGAUCAGUUUCAGAGACUGAAAGCCACCCCUGUCCCUGGGACAUUUCUCACCUCCCUGCAAUACCAGUUCCCCCUCUCAUGUUGUUCCCCCAGGGGCCCAGACCCUGCACCCCCUUCUUUCAGGCAGUACUAACUCUUCCAAGGACCUGGGCGGUGUCCUGCAGUCCCCUAGGGCAGGUGAGGUUUUGAAUGGGCUGAGAAGCAGCCUGGGGUUGAUGGAAGGAGAGCGGUGGGAGGUCAGGGCAAGGAUGGGGAGAGACUUCCAGAGACAACCCUCCUCAGACUUGGGUUGAGAGACACAGAGGCGCAGAGGGGCGCAGUUGCCACCAGGCAAGAGAGAGAGGCCUCUAGGGACAAAGGAGGGAAAGGUGGCCUCUAUGCACUGUGGGAAGGAGCGCCAAAUGUGUGAGAGGCAGGAAGGUGGUCAUGUCUCUGUGACUGUGAGGGUGACAGUUCUGGUCGCUUUGUGUGAGCAUGGGGAAGCCCCCUAUGUUCCCUCACAGCACCCUCAGUUCUCAGACUGGGGAGAAGAGGCAGGGGACUGGUCGGGGACUUGAUGGUCCCCUUGGUAGCUGAGUUGGCUGGAAGGGGUCCAACGCCCAUGGUCUGUCUGGUAAUGCAGCUUUGAGGCUUGGGUUUGGGAGGUGAAUGUCAACUCUCACCCCUGUGAGGUGGCAGCUUUGCUCUAUUGGCCUCCUCAGAGGCUAAAUAAAGAAAUGCUGAGAUCUAUAAACCACCCAGCCCAGAGAGAAAAAGGAGGGAGGAAGGGCAGCUCCUUAGAAAAAAAUCCACCCCCCCCAACCACUAAACACAUUUUUAAUUGUCCCUUGGGAACAUUUGUACAUUUGACCAAAGCGAAUCUCAAAGCAGUAGCAGCAAAAUGAGUCAGAGGGGCUGGUGGUCCAGAGAGAGCUGGGGAUCGCAGAUGAGGAGGCGAGGAGAGGUGGCAGGCAUGUUUGGGAAGGUGAGAAACUUGGCUCCUUUCCCACCAUCUCUGUCAAGCUUUAGAAAGAAAGUGAGCAGGAGAAAUAAAGUUCCAGGGGAAAGAAAGAGAAGGGCAUAUAAAAGGCAAAUCCAACCCAGAAAGGAAAGAAAGUGAAGAAGAAAGAAAAAGGCGGGGAGGGGGAAGAGACUAUAAUAAAAGAGGGUGAAGGCGGCCCCAGGAGGCUGGGCCUCGUCCCAAACCAUCCGUCUUCAUUGUCUCCGUGUGUGCAAAGGCAACUCCAGCAUAAGGAAAACCCACUAUUGGAGCCGAGGCUUUAUUUUAUAUCCUAUACAUCAGGAGGGAGGCAAAGCUUUAUUUUCGCCAAGAGACAGAUAUUUUAUUUCUCUCUUACGGUUUUAUGUGUGAGAGAUGUCAGGUUGCCACAAUGGAUGGCUAAUGCAUAGGCAAGAGGAAGCCGUGUUGGCAUGCUGUGUGUCAUGGGGUCUUGGGGGGGUGAGCGGGCCUGGGAUUUAGGGCUGAUGGGACACUCUGGGGGAUUUCUGCUAAAACAUCUCUCUUCAUAAAUCCAGAAGCGUGGUCAGCUCAACAGGGAGAAGAAGGAGUUUUAGAGAGAAAAGAGUUGGGCUUAGUAAUAAACGAACACACAAAGGAACCGCUUACCUUCCAACAGGCUCAGGCAACGGGGGCACGACAGCCCCAUGGAAAUGCAGAGACCCAUGUCCAUGCACACAAGCGCCAUUCACAGGGAAGUAUUUUCCUGACACAAAAUCCAAUGUCAGUUUCCUUUCCUUUCCCCGUUUUAUAUUUUUCCACCCCCCUUCACCAGAAAUCUUUUUUAACCUCCUCAGAGCCUUGGGGGAAAAGAGCCAUUAAUUUGCAAAUCAUCUGAUCUGUGAAAGGAUCAAGAUGCCUGGUUUUCACUGCUAAAUCCAAUGUCUUGAGUGGACACAGAGGCACACACAAGCCCGUCAUGCUGCCAACCCUUGGGAGCGUAGGUGCCAGAUCUGAAGCCAAGAAAAGACUCCCUCUCCUCCCGGGACCUGCAGCUGAAUUAAGCCUUAGAUUCCAAACUGCAUAAUGUUCGUAUUUUUAAACCUGGAGAGAAGUGGAGAGAUGAAGGGGGACAAAAAGAGGGGGAACUUUGUUAAUUAACAUGUUCCAUUCAGGACUUAGACUAAUUGUCUUCCCCACUUCCAGCCGCCCUCUGACCCAAGCCAUUUCUUACAGGAGUUGCUUUUAUUCAUUAUCAUGUCCUACUCUCCUAAUUUUUGGAUUAAUAUCUACUUGUUUAAUAUCUACUGUGGAGCAAAAACGUGACCACGCUCUUUCUUUUCAGAGGGUCGGAAGCAGCACAGGAUUCCUAGACAAGGAGCGUGGAGACUUGGCUAUACUGUCCCUGGCCAUUGGGGAAGACAUUUAGCCUUUCCGGGCCUCAGUUUCCCAUCUGUAACACGAGGGGAUUCGGCUAAAUGAUUACUGAGGUCCCUUCCAGCUCCGACGUCCUCUGACCGAAUGAGAUAAUGUGUGAAAACACUUUGUGAACACUAACACCGGAUGAAUGCCAGGGAUCAUUAUUACGAUUCUAAUCAAUCCUCUUUUCUCCACAUGGAUCUUGGCUGUUUAGUGCCAGCAAGCAGGCUAAAGGGGGCUGAAAGCAAGAAAGCUUAGCGGAGACGGAAAAGCUCUGUGCCAUGGAUGGGAAAAAAAAAAAAAAAAACCCUGCAUCUCCAGAAACAUUGUGUCUCUGUGUGCCCCCUGAGGCCUAGUGGGAAGCGUUGGGGAGGAGGAGGCCUGACUUGGUAUGACCCAUUUCGGUCUACAUGGCGGCAGAGUGUAUUUCUUCAAAAGCAUUGUUGGUCUCCAAGUGACUGACAUGGGAACCUGAUGGGAAGGCGAUUUGCAAUUGUUUUUUUCCAGGAAGAAAGAAAGAGCAAGGUGUAGCUGAUUAGCAAGUUAAUUAUUUCAGUACCCCAAGGGUUCCAGUGUGGUGGAGACAGGCCCUGGCACCAGGCUCUGGAGAGCCCACUUCCUGACUCCAGCGGUGCGAAGAUGAUACAAUACUUUCUGGUGCUGACAUUCAGCUGUCCCCCAAACAGGUUGGCUGAUAACCCUGCUGGUCCCUGGAGAGGGACCGGGGGCUGUCUAAAAAGACAGUUCUGAUGACUGCUUCAUUGCUAGUGCAGAGGAUUUGGGGUACAGGGGUGGAAUUAAGUCCAAUUGCUGUUUAAAUUGGACUUGGCCUCCUUUAUUUUACAGUCCUAAGGGGUCUCCAGAGGAGAAAAAGUAGUGAGAGAAACUUAGAACACAGGAAAGCAAGCAUAGAGAAGAGUUUCUUGUCUCAAUCUUGGUACUGCCGUGCCAAAAUGAAGCCCAGGGAUGGUUAAAAACAGAUCCUAGGGGCCGGGCACCUUGGCUCAGGCCUGUAAUCCCAGCACUUUGGGAGAUCAAGAUGGGAGGAUUGCUUGAGGCUAGGAGUUCGAGACCAGCCUGGCCAACAUAGUGAGACCUCAUCUCCAAAAAUAAAAACUUAAAAAAAAUUUUAAAAACAAAAACAAAAAUACAGAUCCUAGGGAACAGAUCUUUGAGGUUCCCUGUGGGAUCUUGGCCUGACUCUUGGGAGAUGAAGAAGUCCUUGGUAAGUUUGAAAAUAUCUACAAGUACCAUCUAUUCAGGGGACUAAAUGUGAUUUCUUUUCACUGCCCAGUGGCUGGAUGGUUAUUGGUGGUCCUACCAUCUUGCUCAUGUUCAAGUUUGGUCGUGUAGAUGAAGACCUCAGCUUCCCAGCUCUUACUGUUUCUUUUCCCUCAGGCCAUUCAUAAUUUAGCUAACAUUCUAGUCCAUUGACCAGCACGCAUUUUGAAAGGUGACCUGGCAAGCCUGUAACUGUGUGCAAGGUUGUUCUCAUUUAGGCUCCAGGAAGGAUAGUUUUCCCAUAAGAAAGAAAAGUGGGCGAGAGGCUGAGGUGGGAGGUUGCUUGAGUCCGGGAGGCAAAGGUUGCAGUGAGCUGAGAACCAUGCCACUCACUACCUUCCAGCUUGGGUGACAGAGUGAGACCCCAUCUCAAAAAAAAAAAAAAAAAGAAAAGAAAGAAAAAAAUACAUGAGAGGAAGGAACUAUUUACAUGAAUCUUUUAAUGAAGGAUUUGCCAAUCCGAUAAGUACGAAGCGCCUUUUCCUCCUGAAUGAGUAACUAUGUCAGUGAAUGUUGAGGGUCUGCAGAACCUAUAAAAAAAUGCUUUCUUUGGUCUCUCAGUUUUAACACAUGCUGGGGCUUGGGCCUGCCUCUGACAGACUGGGGAGGACUAGACACAUUCCAGAGACCAGGUCUUGGAGUGUUAUCUCUUCCCCCACCUCAAAUCCUCACCCUCCACUUUAUCUGUCUUUAGCACAAAUGCAGAGACCUCCUAGGGAAGUGUGAAGGGAUGGGUUUUCGUCAGGUUUGGGGAAGGAAGGGGAAUAAGAUGAGCCCCAAAGAAAGAUGGGGGUCACUUGGAAUUUUUAGAUGACACUCUUUUGUUAUACUUUUUGUGUGUUGUGUAUUAUGUCCUACAAAUCAUGCAUUUGUUACAGUAAGCCACAGUGUGUACGUGUGUUUGCCAAGUGCUGCUUGGCCAAAACAGUGUUAAAUAAAAUUGUAAGAAAUGCUACCAGGGCCUUGCAUGGGUUAUUUAAUUCUAUCAAUGAUAAACAACGUUAAUGUGUAGCAUCUCAGUUGGCACAAUAUCAUGUUUCAUUUAUAUAUGCUGAGAUAUAUUUAAGCAUGAAAGAUACAGUUUUCCAACAUAUAUAUUUCUCAGUGAUUACUCAGGGGAAGUGUGAUAGAAACAGCAGAAACCUUUCUCUCUCAAUAAACCUGCAUCCUGCAAACACAGACUGCCAGUCACACUUAGCCACAUGGCCAGCCAGCCAUGUACAUAUUUUCGUAUACAUGCCUUCACAGGUAAGUGUAAAUGUAGAUUUUAGAAAUGUAGAUUCAGAUUUCUGUACUGAUACACGAUUCUAGAUACAUGUAGCAGCACACACAGGCAGCUCUUCAAAGUCUUUGUUAUAUUUACACAUUUUCUCACACACUUACCUACGCUGCUGCAUAGAUGGAUGAUAACAGCAACAUGCAUAUCAUCCCACAUGUGGAUAUGUAUGUGUACACAUGUUGGUACUCUCACUGCCAAGUGCUGAUGUGCCCGGAAGGGUGUGUGCCCACAUGCAGGAGACUGUUCUGCCCAGUCUCCUCCUGAAAUGUGCAUUUGUGUGCAUGUGCACAUUUGCACACACACAUGCACACUCCUCCACCCCUGCUCUGGGGAGUACACUAAAAUUCACUGACACGCUCCAUAUGGCCAUGGAGCAGCAGCUGCCCUGUUACUCUUGGAGGCUCCAGACCUGGUGGACAGUUUUUUUGACCUGGGAACUGUGUGUUUGCCCUAUGAACCCUGAGGCCUUCAGGAUGGGAAGCCUGGAGGAUCAGGGUCAAGAUGCCAGCCUGUCUAGCCUCUGAUGAAAAUAAUAUGAAAACGCAGGAGUGGGACAGGGGGUUGGGUAGCUAGUCUCUGCAGACAGAUGCCUCCAAAAGAGGAUCGACCUUUUAUUUGCUCAUUUGACAAACAUGUCAGAGAGGUAUAUAGGAGUCAGGAUGCCUGAUCAGCUUCUCUGAUCCUGAUUCUACUGCCAGUUAGCUGUGUGGAUCUAGACAACCUGCUCUCUAGGCCUCAGUUUCCACAUCUGUAAAGAACGGGCCUCAGGCUGGACGUGGUGGCUCAUGCCUGUAAUCCAAGUACUUUGGGAGGCCAAGGGGGGUGGAUCACCUGAGGUCAGGAGUUUGAAACCAGCCUGGCCAACAUGGCGAAACCCCGUUUCUACUUAAAAUACAAAAAUUAACCAGGCGUGGUGGCAGGCACCUGUAAUCCCAGCUACUUGGGAGGCUGAGGCAGGAGAAUUGCUUGAACUCGGAGGGCGGAGGUUGCAGUGAGCCAAGAUCGCGCCACUUCACUCUGUCCCCCUCCGCCAAAAAAAAAAAGAAUGGGCCUGGAUGUGCAGUUCUCAAACUUGGAUGCACGGAGGAAUCAUCUGGGGAGCUUUAAAAAAAUACGGAUGUCUGGGCUCCACCCCAGACCAGUUAGAUCAGCAUCUCUGGGAGGUGAGUCCCUUGCAUCUUUUUUUUUUUUUUUUUAAAGCUCCCCAGGUGAUUCUAUGUUUAACCAAGGUUGAGACCCAGUGGCUGAGAUGGUCUCCAAGGCUCUUCUAGACCAAAAGCUCUAUGACAUGGAGGACUUUCCAUACAAAAAGCACUGUACUGGGUACCAGGGCACCCGCUGAAACAUCUACAUUUACUUGUAUAAGGUCAUUAAAAGUUAUUAAAAAUUAUUCUUCUUUCAGUUUAGGCAAAGAAUAAUUUCAAACAAAGUAUAUUUAUCCUGGAAACACUCAUACUUGCAUUUCCAGCUCUCUUUCUGUGUCUUUGUUUUCUUUCCAAUUUAUCUCUCUCUGACUCACUCAUCAAGCAUUAAUUAUAUGCCACAUAUACAAAUACUAUACGUGGGGAUCUGAUAAAUGUGAUAGAUACCUUUGCUACCCACACAUAUUUCCUGGCUAGCUUCUCACCCAAGCUGUUGGAUGGCAUAAUAUUUUUAGCAGGGUAAAUGAUAAGGCACAGGCUCCAGGAGGAAAGUUUUCUCCCCCCACACCCCAAGCCCAGCUGUGAGUGAGAGAACACCAGCCCCCAGGCCCAUGCCCCAGUUCUGGAGGCUGGCAUGGUGCUGAAGAACGCAUUGAGCUGCGUGUCCUAGAAAGCUGCUCUCAGACCUGGGCCUUUGGGAAUCCCACAUUAAUAUUCUCCACUAACAGUUUCCCAGGCAGGGCCAGUCCCCCUUGAAAACAAACCUGCUCCGUGACCACACCUGCCAGAGAAGACUGCCUCUCAUCCACAGUAGCGUGCAGAAGGCAAAACUGAGACAAGACAGCCUGAGCUGCCGCCUGCAGGCCCCUUCUCUGUUGGAGGAUGUUUAGGAGAGUAUGGGGGAGGGCUUCUGCCUCUCAUCUGCGGUGGGAUGGAGGAGAGGGUUUUCAUUCUGCGUGGAGGGCCUCCACUUUUCCCUCCAUGUAAUCACUCACUCAGGCCUCCGAGAGAAACUCAGACGGGAGCCUGCUUCUCUCUUUCCCUCUCUCCCUUUAGCUCCACUGGCCUGCAGAGUUUUGGAUGAGUUUUCUUUAGGAAAGUUGUCCCAACGUGGCCACAGUGGCGGCUCUUCUGUCCAGGCGAGUGACAGAGUAGGGAUCGAGGCUGAGACCCAUGGGUUUGGUCUCUAACCCUCUCAUUCACUCCUCUUUGCUGCCUGUGUCUUUGUUUAUCUCUGUAUUUUCCCCCCUCCCUUUCAUUUUGUCUUCUCCCCUGAUGACAUACGGAGUCAAGUCCUGGCCACCAAGGUGGCCUUGAACAUAGUGUAGGAGAGGUUGCUGGGCACAGCGGACCUCUCAUGCCAUGCCCAGUCCCUCUUCUCCCCUCCCCUCUCCUCUUGCAUAGAGGAUGAGUUUGGUGCUGAGGAGGGAGAGGCAGCAGGGGAUCCUCAGAUUCUAAACUCUGAUCCAGGGCCCAGCUUCCUAGGCUUGAGUCCCUUCCCAGGGCCCACCUCCCCUUGGGCCUGGGGAACGUCACACCCCAGGAAGUGAUGGAUUCCCCAGGCACCUUCAAAGAGCUCUGCAUUUGUUUGCAAUGCAGACCUUGAAUCUUGCUCUGGUCAUAAAUGUUGUUUAUUUUGACUAGGACCUACUGAAAGGGACUGAGAGGUAUAGAAGGCAAAGAGAAUUCUGUGGGGAAGAUCAUAAAACCAUUAGCAAGGCAGGGCUUCUAGGGGUCACAGGAUCACAGACGUUUUCUGGCUGGAAGGAGCACAGGCCAUCAGGAAGGUCAGAGAUGACCACUUUGUCAGCAAAAGGCCUUCAGGGGCCACACAGGGCUAGGGUGGGGGUCGUUGGGCCUCUUGUGUGUGGACUUUUUCUAGAAAGUGGACCUAAGAUAUGGGGUCAUGACCCCCCAGUAACCUUAUGCCAGGCCGGGGAGGCCAAUCUUGCUGCAUCUGAUGGAUUUGCCCUCCUGGUGGGAAGAACCAGUUGCUUGGCUGUGUAGCAGAGCCUCCUAUCCUAGGGAGCGGGCGCAGCUCCUGGGUGGAAGAUUCUGCUUCCAGCAGCUCCUGGGGAAAAGACUUUUCUUCCACUGCUAUUGAUGGAGCAGCUGUAUGUGCCAGGGGGUGUGCCUGGUGCUCUUCUAGUACCUUGUCUUAUUCACCCUUCGAGACAAUGCUUGAAAGAGAUGUUUUCGUCUCCAUUUUGCAGAUAAGAAAACUGAAGCUCGUAGAGGAGAGGUGGUUUGUUCAAGGUCACACAGCAAGUUAGUGAUAAGGCUGGGAGUAGGCUUUAAGACUUGGGACUCUUUCAACCUAAUCUUCUCCACAUCUCUUCUCUUCUUCACCAUCUACUGUGGUCUGGUCUUCUGCAGCCUGAGAGAACAAAUGGGAGUAGGGUUCCCCUCCCUCUAAAGCAUACGUUGGGCUGACAAAAAACUCAGGAACAAACUUCCUUCUUUUUUUUUUUUUUUUUUUUUUGAGACAAGGUGUUGCUCUGUCACCCAGGCUAGAGUGCAGUGGCGUUAUCAUGGCUCCAACUCAUGGGUCCAACCUAUCCUCCCACCUCAGCCUCCCAAGUAGCUGGGACCACAGGAACAUGCCACCAUGCCUGGCAUAGAGAUGUCUCCCUGUGUCACCCAGGCUGGUCUUGAACUCCUGGGCUCAAUCAAUCCUCCUGCCUUAGACUCUCAAAGUGCUCGGAUUACAGGCGUGAGCCACCGUGCCCAGACUGCAAACUUACUUCUUGUAGGGGGAACAGCAGAGUCUUGGGCCCCUUCCAGUCCCUGGCAUAGACCUGGCUCACUCUUCAGAGAACGUGCUCCCAUGCAUCCAGUCCACAGUCAGGUAGCUAUCCUGGUUGCCUUUCACUCAUGGUGUGACUCAGAGCAAGUCACUUCACCAUUCUGAAUCACACCUUCCAGAUCCACCUCCAGACCUGGGGGCUCUGUGGAAGGUGAGGCUUGGCGGAGGCGGUGGCAAGAGGAGCCCUCUUGGGCUCCUGUUUGGUGUGAUAGCUCAGGGCUGGGCAGGAGGAGAGGAGACUUGGUUUUGCCCCUAAACCUGACCCAAGUUACAUAAAGAUUCUUCAAAAGCAGGCAAGGCAGGGCUUGGUAAGAUCCCCGCUGAGCCCGUGAGAGGCAGAGAGCCAGGGCAGAGGCAGCUUAAGUAGCAGUUCUUCCCUGAUCCCCUGACUGUGUAAUCCAGUUGCUCAGAGAAUGGAAAAUCCCUUUCACCUCCCCUGGCCCCCUCCCCCACAAAGGCCUCCUAAUAGGCCUGCCAGCUUUGGGGUGCUAAUCUGCCCAGACAUCACUCUGUGAGCAGGUUGCCCAGGGUUCCAAUCCCAGCCGCCCCACAGUGGGAGACGGGGAAGGCUGGGAGGGGAGGUGGUUCUGGGAGUUGAGUGUGGGGGAUUGCCUGCUCUCUGGCCUGCCCAGAAGAUCAGAGAAACAAACAGGCUCUGUGCUGAAAGAAACUUUGGGGAUGGAGACAGGGCACAGGAUUGGAGGGAGGUGGGCAACAGGGCUGGGUCCCCUGGCAGAGGUGCCUUGGGCGGGGCUUAUUAUGAAACAGUCACUUCAUCCACCAAGCUCCUUUCAUUUUUACUUAAAAAGGGCCCCCUCUCCAGCAACUUCACCUCCCCACCCCCUCCACUUUCACCCAUCCAUCCACUGAGCCGCUGACAGCUGCCCUGCGGGUGAACUCCUGAUCGCCCCGUGGCUGGGGCUGGAGCGAUACCGGAGGGGUUCAGGCCAGAUCACUGCCCCCUCCAGCCCUCCACCCUCACCUCCCAACACACUCACUCCCUCCAGAUAGGCCCACCUCCAUUCCCCUGAGUCAGCCAGAGAGAGAAGAAAAUGAAGGAGGCGACAAAGCAGAAAAAAGGACCUGGAGGAGGAUGAAAAGAAAUAAAUGAAGAGUGGAGAAGAGGAAGAAAAAAUCAAACAGAGAAGGAGGGAAAGGGAGGAACCCGAGAAGGAAGGAAAGAGAGGAGGAAAUGAAGUACAAGGAGAAGAUGGAAAAGCAAGAGGAGAAAGGAAAGAAGGAAGGACGAAGAGAGAGAGAGAGCAGAGGCUGGAAGGCUGGAGCCCAAGCCCAGGCUAUCAUCCUUAAUAGCUGAAGAUGCUGAAGGGAGGGGAAAAAACAGGGUUGGGGAGGACUGGCGGGAGGAGGAGACCGCACAGGUAGGAUGGGAAGUACGAGGUUGCUCCAGGUACGACGCAUGAGCCUGGAUGGAGCCUCACCCACCCAGCUCCCAGCUCUGGAAACACAGCCCUCCCUCUGGACGAAGGUCCCUCGGUGCAAUGCCACAGACUGUGUCCACGGCCAUGCAGGCUGCAGGCAGAGGAAUCUCUCACUUGGGGUGGUCAGAGUUGUGGGACUGGCUGGAUGGAGCCCUACGGUCCCUUCCUUGGAUGUCAACAGCGUCCACCCCAGGCUGCAUGACCAUGCCAGUCUCAGCUGGCUUCACCACCUGCAGCGUCUGGGUCCUGCCUGCUCCCUUUGGUUACAGUUAGAAAUUUCUCCUGAUUUGAGAUUUUAUCUUACGAUGGACUGGGCCUUAAAGACCAAGUACUUUCCACCUGCUCAUUUUAUAGAUGCGAAACAGGCCUGGAGAGGGGAAGAAACUUGUUUACAGUCACAUUGUGAGUUAAUGGGGCGCUCUGCCUUUCUAAGACCAAGGCUGAGACAAUAGCCAGGGAGGACAAGGGAGUGUGGUGUCUCUGCAGAGGGCUCAGCGUUUGAUUCCCUCUGCUGGGAACACAGCCACAGCAUUUUAUAUCCUAGAUGAGAGAAAACAUUUGUGGCUACGAUAGUUCCCGAAUUUUAAGUACCUACGAUACACCAGCUUUGUAUUAUUCUCAAUAACUCCUCAUACGUAUCCUGUCAUGUAGAUAUUCCAUGCCCUGCAUUUACAGAGAAAUAAACCAAGGCCCAGAGAGGUUGAGUAAUUUGUCUGAGGUCACACAGCUAGGAAUUUGAGCCGGGAUUUGCUCAAAGCUUAUGCUGAAUCUCUUAUGCCAUGCUGUCUCUUGGGUGUCCAUAGCCGACACUCUUCUUGCCUACCUCAUUCCUACCCCACCACCCCAUACAUAGCCCAGGGAUUGAAUCUGAGGCGUUCUCAUGGCAGCUGGAACUGAUAUUGCCAGGGAGAACGCAGCUGGGUGGACCUGAUCAUGUCUCCUCAUCUCCCCUCAAAGACCCCACAAAGACAAGGGGAAGGUCCCCUGAGCCUCUGUAUGAUUUAUCUGAUGAUAUUGUUAUUUUAUGGGAUGGGCCAAAGAGGUGUCAGGAAGCAAGUUCGCUGUAAAUCUCUUUUCUCUGCUCCCUUUCCCUCUGCGCGUCCCCUCCUGGGAUUUAUGGUGAAAUCUGUUCAGAGCUAGGGACUUGGGGCUUUGAGUUCAGGCUUGGGGUGGUACGGCAAGGGACCAUACAUCUUCCUUCUCUGGGAUCUGCUAAAAGUGUGCUAUCCACGCCCCAUCAUGAGCUGCAGCAUUGAGUCCACAAAGCCCUUAUUAAGAUCUCCAUGGCACUCGAAUAGCUCUGCAGACAGAGCACAUGACCUGCAGCGGAGAUGUGUUAUCUGGACCUACCCACAGGCUGGUGGCCUAUGUGUGGCCCCCUCACUGGUGGGCAUGAGUUUCUGAAUCCAGCCAGGAACCCGGGAACAGAGCGCACUGGGAGCAGAUGUGUGACCCCCACACGAUAGCUGAGGCCAGGAAGAAGUGGCGGGGCUGGGGGUGCUCCUCACGGAGUGGCAGGUCAGGGGCUAGCUGGAAAGGAACCUGCUUCUGGGUCCUUUCUGAGAUGGGGGUGCACAGGGAGGAAGGCAGCUUGAAAUUUACUCCCUGCCCCGGGGCAGGCAGACUCAAAGUGACUGGCCCUGCAAACACUGCUAUGGGCUCUGUCACUAGGGGUGAACACAAGGUCACACACUUGAGAGGGCAGAUGAAGGCUGGGCACCCUAUCCACCUUCACACUUCUCCCCUCCUCGGGGGCUUUCAUGGCUGCAAAUGCUGGGCUGAUUGUCCCAAGCUGAGCUUGUCCAGUCAGAGGCCAGUAUGUGCUGGUUGCCGCCAGAGGCCUAGAGAUAGCUCAGUCCAGGGACGGAAGAGACAGGAAUGAGAGGAGGGCAGAGGAGUGGAAAAGGAGGGAAAGGAGGAGUUAAGGGGAGGGGAGGAGCAGGGAGAAUAAAGGAGGAGAUACUAGCAAAAGCCUUUGCUGACCUGCCCCCCACCCAGACCUCUCCUCCACUGUGAUGAGAAAUCUUCUCUCUUCACAACUCCUUAGAGGGUGCUAGUGUGGCCUCCUGCCCAUGGUGGCCUCCAGUAUUCAUGAGCCAGUUGUUGCAGAGGAAUUUCUUCAAACAGUCCACGGCCCCUGGAUGAUUUAUCUUGAGCACCCAUGACUCCCCACAGUCCCAAGUCCAGUGUGCAGAAUCUUAGGGAGGGCUGGGUGAAUCCUGGCUAAAUGAAUACAGAGAAAAGAAAAGGGGAGAAAAGAAAAGAGUGGAUACCAGGUGUCUCCCCCACCCCGUCCUCACCCUGCUCAUCUCCUGACUGCCUGAACCAGGGCUGUGCUGUGUCUCCGGUUAAAUAUGUGGAAUUAUCUAUUACAAUACUUCGAUAUUUAUUACAUUGAUUUCGCUUUAAAUGCUUUGUAAAUCAUAGCAAAAAAUAAUGGCCUUCCAACAGAGAGUCAUAUACCGUAAUCAACUGGAAGAAAGUCGGCAUUGUAAUUUAAAAUAAAAAAAAAAAUCCUUAUGUGAGUCUCUCGUUUAAAUUAAGAGACAGGACGUGAUUCAAAUAAUAAGACCCAAGUGAGGCUGGUUUUUCUUGGCAAAUUAGUAGAGGUUUUAACUGGAACUGAAAAGGUGUUAAGGUGGAACACUGACCUUAUUAGACCUUAAUUAUCUUCUGUUGUUACAUUCCUGGAGCCGAGGGUUGUUUUUUUUUUUUUUCUUCCAAAGUGGCCAUGUUAAACCUCAUCUCAGGAACUUUGGCUUUAGAGGGAUAUCACUUCUCAAGAGGCAUUAGUGGGACAAAAAGCAGACACUUCACCAGUGUCCCUUUUCUCCAUCCUCGAGUUUCAUGGGCAGCCAGAAUUGCUGGUUUGGAGGCAACGUUCUUGUCAUUGAAAGCUGAGAAUUUGCCCCACUCACGUCCCUGAUUCCUUUAGUUUUUCACCUGUAGCCUUCCUAGUGGUAGCCUCCUCUCCCUGGAUCUAGCUUCAGCCCAGGCUGAUGGAGCCAGCAUCCACCUGGCCAAGAGAGA